GGCCUCAUGGUGUAAUGGUUAGCACUCUGGACUUUGAGUCCAGUAGUCUUGAGUUCAAAUCUUGAUGGGACAU
rnacentral:tRNA from 1 species